rnacentral:rRNA from 1 species
UACGGAGGGUGCAAACGUUGCUCGGAAUUAUUGGGCGUAAAGCGCACGUAGGCGGACCAUCAAGUCGGAUGUGAAAUCCCUCGGCUUAACCGAGGACGUGCAUUCGAAGCUGAUGGCCUUGAGUACGAAAGAGGAUCGCGGAAUUCCCGGUGUAGAGGUGAAAUUCGUAGAUAUCGGGAGGAACACCGGUGGCGAAGGCGGGUCUCUGGGCCGAAACUGACGCUGAGGAGCGAAAGCGUGGGGAGCGAACAGG